rnacentral:lncRNA from 1 species
CUUUAGUUACUUGGAGGCUGUAGAAUAGAUAGACUAAUUGUCUUAAAAUCUUCAGAGAAGGCAAUAGUUGUGCGGAAAAAUUAGCAAAUUAAGGUUUACACAUCAAUGGUGUCGUGCGGUGCGAUUUCAUUCCAUCUUUCAUUUACGAUGAUUCUGCUCGUUACAAGAAUGAACUUCUUUUUUUUUUUUUUUUUUUUUUUUUUUUUUUUUUUUUUUUUUUUUUUUUGUCCACACUCUUUUUUCCUUCACUUUUUUUUUUUUUUUUUUUCUGUUUUUAUUGAUUCUCUUUUUGCUCCACACUCUUUUUUCCUUCACCAUAUUUUAUCCCUUUAGAAUUUUA